GGGGCCGACCUGGUUUCGACGUGGGUGCGGAGUUGGGAUAGGGCACGCCGAGCACCAGUCCGCUCGUUAAACCACUGGAAAAAAAGUAACUGCGAACGACGAACGUUUCGCCCUCGCCGCUUAACACCGGUGAGCCUCUCAGCAGUUGGCCGAUGGGCUGCGUCUGACGCCGCAAGGUGUUAGGCAGAGAGGUCAUUCACAUUGGCUGGUUUCCAGGUGGGCCAUGUACCCGGAAAUAAGAUCAAGUGGCUGGCUGCCAACGAAGCGUGCUGCUGCGCGUCGGGGGUGGUGAGAUCCAAAUCAGUCAGCUAAGCGUGUAGAUCUACCUGGCGAUGGCUUGCGGACGGGGGUUCAAUUCCCCCCGGCUCCACCA
rnacentral:tmRNA from 1 species